GACUUGUGAGUUCGGGGACAUCCGAUAAAAUUGAAACAAUACAGAGAAGAUUAACAUGGCCCCUAUGCAAGGAUGACAUGCACAAAUUGAGAAAUAGUAUCAAAGCCU